rnacentral:rRNA from 1 species
UACAGAGGUGGCAAGCGUUGUUCGGAAUUAUUGGGCGUAAAGGGCGCGUAGGCGGCUUUGCAAGUGACGGGUGAAAUCCCUCGGCUUAACCGAGGAACUGCCUGUCAAACUGCAUGGCUUGAGACCGGGAGAGGUGAGUGGAAUUCCCAGUGUAGCGGUGAAAUGCGUAGAUAUCAUGAGGAAUACCAGAGGCGAAGGCGGCUACCUGGACAAUUGCUGACGCUCAGGCACGAAAGCGUGGGGAGCAAAAGGG